CACGUAGGGCGCGAGCGUUGUCCGGAAUUAUUGGGCGUAAAGAGCUCGUAGGCGGCCUGUUGCGUCCGCUGUGAAAGCCCGGGGGCUUAACCCCGGGUCUGCAGUGGAUACGGGCAGGCUAGAGGUAGGUAGGGGAGAAUGGAAUUCCCGGUGUAGCGGUGAAAUGCGCAGAUAUCGGGAGGAACACCGGUGGCGAAGGCGGUUCUCUGGGCCUUACCUGACGCUGAGGAGCGAAAGCGUGGGGAGCGAACAGG
rnacentral:rRNA from 1 species